rnacentral:rRNA from 1 species
CUACGGGUUGCUGCAGUGAGGAAUAUUGCACAAUGGGGGGAACCCUGAUGCAGCAACGCCGCGUGGAGGAUGACGCAUUUCGGUGUGUAAACUCCUUUUAUAUGUCAAGAAAAUGACGGUAGCAUAUGAAUAAGCACCGGCUAACUCCGUGCCAGCAGCCGCGGUAAUACGGAUGGUGCAAGCGUUACUCGGAAUCACUGGGCGUAAAGGACGCGUAGGCGGGUUGGAAAGUCAGGUGUGAAAUCCUACAGCUUAACUGUAGAACUGCACUUGAAACUUCUAAUCUAGAGUAUGGGAGGGGGAGAUGGAAUUAGUGGUGUAGGGGUAAAAUCCGUAGAUAUCACUAGGAAUACCUAAAGCGAAGGCGAUCUCCUGGAACAUUACUGACGCUGAGGCUCGAAAGCGUGGGGAGCAAACAGGAUUAGAUACCCCCGUAGUC